CAGGCUCGAGCCCGUACGAGAGCCGUCUCACCGUUUGACCCAACACAAACGGCGCGGGAGCUGAUGUCUCUUGGUCCCUUGGGAUCCGGAGCUGGCACCCACCUUCAUUUGAAGGGAUCAAAGCCAGAGGCGGCAACGGCGGGCUGGGGCCUUU
rnacentral:other from 1 species